rnacentral:lncRNA from 1 species
AUCUCCGACUUGUGUCAAGAAAUGGGAAGUUCUGGGCCCAGAUCCCCAUAAGUCAGCGAUGAGGGGGGCCGAGCAGGGGCUGCCCGUUAGACGGCCGCAGAGUCCCAGCCCCCAGCCCUGCUCACCUUUCUUACCUCUCUGGCCCCGUCGGCAUUUGAGCCUGGGACCCCAGACGAAAGGAUACGCUUCCUUUUAGAACCCCUGCCAAUCUGAGGACGGGGCCACCCCACAGACGCCGUGGCUCAGCAAGCAGACCAAUGGCCGAGGAGUCUGGCAAGGGGCGCUUGAUGAGAGUGGAGGUUGUAAAUCACCCUCCAUGCAAUGGUUCAUCAUAAAGGAUAUGGAGCAAAAUUAGAGGAGGCACGAGAAGGAAAGCCGGUGAUGAACAAGGAAAGUGCCUGGUUGAAGCUAGCUUGCAAUCCCAAAGUCAGAAGGUUGCCUGGGAAGCCAUGAAACAAAGCCAAAUCAAGGCAAAGCAGACACAUGGAGAUUUUGAGACUGAGAAGAGGAAAACUGAGGACAUUCAUGUGAGAUGGUUUCAAGUUUCCCUUA